GAGAGGACCGGGAUGGACGGACCGCUGGUGUAUCUGUUGGGUACCAGACCCAUGGCAGAGUAGCCAAGUCCGGAAGGGAUAAACGCUGAAGGCAUCUAAGCGUGAAGCCCCCCUCAAGAUGAGAUAUCCCAAUCAGUAAGACCCCUUAGAGAGUAUGAGGUAGAUAGGCAUGAGGUGGAAGUGCAGUAAUGCAUGGAGCUGACAUGUACUAAUCGGUCGAGGGCUUAACCUG
rnacentral:rRNA from 1 species